rnacentral:rRNA from 1 species
GACAGAGGGUGCAAACGUUGUUCGGAAUUACUGGGCGUAAAGCGUGCGUAGACGGUAGCGUAAGUCAGAUGUGAAAGCCCCGGGCUCAACCUGGGAAUUGCAUUUGAGACUGCUCUGCUCGGGUGCGGAAGAGGGAAGCGGAAUUUCCGGUGUAGCGGUGAAAUGCGUAGAUAUCGGAAGGAACACCAGUGGCGAAAGCGGCUUCCUGGUCCGACACCGACGUUCAGGCACGAAAGCGUGGGGAGCAAACAGG